ACGGGGCGCAGCAGGCGCGAAACCUUUACACUGCACGCCAGUGCGAUAAGGGGAUCCCGAGUGCACAGGCAUAGAGCCUGUGCUUUUCUGAACCGUAGGGAGGUUCAGGAACAAGAGCUGGGCAAGACCGGUGCCAGCCGCCGCGGUAAUACCGGCAGCUCGAGUGAUGGCCGAUCUUAUUGGGCCUAAAGCGUCCGUAGCUGGCCUUGCAAGUCCGUCGGGAAAUCCACCCGCUCAACGGGUGGGCGUCCGGCGGAAACUGUGAGGCUUGGGACCGGGAGGCUUGAAGGGUACGUCCGGGGUAGGAGUGAAAUCCUGUAAUCCUGGACGGACCGCCGAUGGGGAAACCACUUCAAGAGAACGGAUCCGACAGUGAGGGACGAARGCUAGGGUCUCGAACCGGAUUAGAUACCCCCGUAGUCC
rnacentral:rRNA from 1 species